UUUUCUAUUUAUUUUUAAGCCCCAGAAUAUGACAGGACCUCAUGGUUAAGUGUGAAGUAUACACUUGGAUUGGACUUUCCCAAUCUUCCUUAUUUUAUUGAUGGAGAUGUCAAGUUAACACAGAGCAAUGCGAUCAUUCAAUAUAUUGCUAGAAAGAAUAAUAUGG
rnacentral:lncRNA from 1 species